GGGCUUUUUCAUUAAUCCAGGGAAGAGUUCAAAUUUCAGAAUACAAGAUGUAAGAGAAAUUAUUUAACUAAUUAAACAAAAACAAAGAGUUGAAAGUUAAAAAACUAGUUGCGGUCAAUAUCAUUGUACUACAAAACAAACAAAAUAAGCGAGUACAAGGAAUCAACAUAUUUUCCCAAAAAAAAAAAAAAAAUUUCUUCAAGUGAUAGUCGCUUUGGUGCCAUCAUCUUGCAACUUUUUUGCAGAUGUAUUCACAGGAAUCAUGAUCAAUUUACUCCGAGCCGUUUUUAAUCCUCAAUUUGAUGCAUUGUUUCAUAUCAUUUAAUAGGUUGCAAAAUUGGAUGAUGAUGAGCAAUUACAUCAACUGAAUCAUGCUUAACUUGCAGACACCUUCUUCCGAAUGACCCUCUUUCUUCUUGCCUUUGGAGCUGAUGAUGGUUCCCCGUCAACAGAAUCGGCAUUCCCUUGUUUUAUGCCAAGAAGUCCUAGCCCAGAAACAAGGGUUUUCUUUGAUAUAAACCAAUUUGAAGAUGAUAAUGUAGCAACAUCCUCUGAAGGCCUGUUGUAAGCCUUCAAGAGGUUAUCUGAUUGAACUAGAGGAUCUGCCUCUGCACCCAUCCAGGCCAGCCUUGACGUCUCUCCAACUUGCACAUUCAAAAUCCUACAUGGGACCCAGUGCAAAAUGGCAUUAAUGGUACAUACACCGAUAUAAAAAGCUCAGCGUUUCAAACAAACAAGUUCAUCAUUGACAUCAACAGCAUCACAAUCACAGUUAUCAUCAGAGGUUUAGAAAAGGAUGGGUUUUGUCUGAUUUUGGAAGAAAUGGAUUAGGAGGUUACAGUCCCAUGAUGUAUAAAAUUGGAGAUUCAAGUUGUCAAAGGAUUUCAUGAUACAUUAAACUUGUGUUGGAUUCUGACAGAAAGAGGCAUGAACUCCCAAGGAAAAUGUGAUCAUCAUGAAGAGGCAAAAGCAAUUCAUGAUGCAUGGCAAUUAUAUCAUGAAAUCCUACAAUAAGAUUAAGUUCAGUCUGAAAAGUUAGGCAUAUUCUAUAAGCAGGAAAGAAAACAAACCUCAAAGCUGUGCUGAAAAAUAGUGCAACUCCAAUAACAUCAAAAUAGUUGACCACUGCUCUAUCAAAUCCACAUAAUAGCUGGUAUCUCAAGUUUGCAUAAAGCCCAAGGAAAGCACCAUAGCCACGUGCAUAGUUACUCACAGGUGGGACUGUCACAGAUAAUCUAUCUUUCUUUUUACUGGCCAAAAAAUUUGACAAUUGACCUUGCAUUGCCCCUGCACUUAAUCCAACCACACAUAGCUCAGCAGCCUUAUAGAAGAAUGAGUGGACUCUCUUUUGCAAGUCAAAUUCUCUAAGUGGGUAACUCUUUUCAAAUAUAUUGUUAGGAAGCUUCUGUAAUGUAUUUUGCAAAUCAAACCGGAAUGUGUUUCCAUACGAGCGGCAAGGAGCAAGUGUCCAAACGACAAUGGCAUUGCAAGCUGUUGCUGUGAGCACAUUUACAAGUGCCAGAUCCCAUUCCUGUUUUAUCCUAUCCUUGCGAUUUUUCACCUCCCACCAAACAGAGCAACCAAUUGUAGCAGCCUGCUCUAAAAGAAGCCUAUAUAAAAAGGCAGGAUCUGCUAGCAUCCUUCCAAUAAAUGCCCUAGAAAAUGCUUGAGGAAGUGCUCUGGAGAUCAUCCUAGUAGUGGUUGGUCUGGCAUUUAUUGCUAGGAAUUUCACCAUUUGAGCUGAGCUCACCAAACCCAUCUCAUAAGCUUGUCGGAAUCCAGCAGGCAAAUCCAUCAUUGUUUUCUGCCAUUCAUUCAAAACAGCAUCUACAAAUUUUCGAUCAAAAAGCUCUUCAAGAAAUUUCCUUCUCCUGAAUAGUCCACCCUCAUCUCCCUCAUCACCAUCAUCAAAGUCAUCAAAAUAAUCGUCAUCGUCACCAUCAUCAUCACCUCCAUCACCACCACCAUGAUUGAUUUUCUUCCCAAUAUCUCCACCACCUCCCCCAAGUGCAACCUCAGGGCUAACUUUCGACUCCUUCUGCGACAAAUCGAGUUUCCCUUUCUCCAAAGUAACCGCACCAAACGCACCAUAUUUCCCCUUCAUAACCGGUCCAAACUCCCCCCUCGAACUCGAAGCCGAGCCUAAAUCCACCGGUGCAGCAUCCGGCGCCAGAAAGCACCGCUCAAAAGCUGCAACGGAAUCGCCACCGUCGAUUAAAGAAGGAGACGAGCACCUAAUGACAAGAUUCCUCCGUAGCUUACAGUUCACCCGCUGGGCAGCCGGCAGCUGCUGCCGGGGGCACAAUUGAGGAAGCGGAGGAAGACUAGGCUUUAACGGCAAGGUCUUGGCGGCGCUUGUAGUGGUGGUGGGUAUUUGAGCUGUGUGGAACACGAAGUGAUACAUGGUUUAAAGAGGAAAGCUAUUUUCUGUUUGGAUACCAAGAAAAAUGCAAUCCUUUUUUUUUCUUCCCUCUUGUUAUUUUCUCGGAUUAUGCUUUACUUCAUGGGAAAUUCCCUCUCUCUCUAGAACUUCGGGGCAUGUUUUAGAGAGAGAGUGAAAGAGGAAGAGAGGAGAAGGGGAUGGGUGGGGUAUUGAUGGAUGGAUAGCCGACUACGAUGGGACUAACCCAAUCGGAAACGAGUUUGGUGAGUU
rnacentral:misc_RNA from 1 species